rnacentral:rRNA from 1 species
GAUGAACGCUAGCUACAGGCUUAACACAUGCAAGUCGAGGGGCAGCAGGAACUUAGCUUGCUAAGUUUGCUGGCGACCGGCGCACGGGUGAGUAACGCGUAUCCAACCUGCCCAUUACUCAGGGAUAGCCUUGCGAAAGUAAGAUUAAUACCUGAUGUCGUCAUAGAAUCGCAUGUUUCUUUGACUAAAGAAUUUUGGUAAUGGAUGGGGAUGCGUAACAUUAGGUAGUUGGUGAGGUAACGGCUCACCAAGCCUACGAUGUUUAGGGGUUCUGAGAGGAAGGUCCCCCACACUGGAACUGAGACACGGUCCAG